GACAGAGGGGGCAAGCGUUGCUCGGAAUCACUGGGCGUAAAGAGCGCGCAGGCGGUCGAUCAAGUCGAGUGUGAAAGCCCCCGGCUCAACUGGGGAGGGUCAUUCGAUACUGAUCGACUCGAAGGCAGGAGAGGGUAGUGGAAUUCCCGGUGUAGUGGUGAAAUGCGUAGAUAUCGGGAGGAACACCAGUGGCGAAGGCGACUACCUGGCCUGUUCUUGACGCUGAGGCGCGAAAGCUAGGGGAGCAAACGGG
rnacentral:rRNA from 1 species